CGCCUCUUCGGCUGCCAUGUCCGAGCUCACACGCUGGACGAACCGCCCCGCCCAGGCUGCAGCGGCGGGAGAGGAAAGCGAGGAGGCGGGCGCUGCGGCUGAGGCCCACCCCGGUGUGUUGAAAUAAGUACUUGAAAAGUCAUGGGCUGGGAAGACUCCAGAACCUUGCCUUCCUGGGAAGCGAAGUGAAGCCCACUGGAACCUGUGAGCCAGAACCUCAAGCAGUCUCCACAAAGAUCCUUCCCGCUUAGUCAUUCCUGUCUGUAGUGGCAGGGAUGGAGACCCAGCUUCACACUGUCACCUGCGGCAGCCUGAGGUCUUUUUCGGUGACCUGUCCUCAGGCAAAACCAGAUCCUCAGCCACACCACAGAAAAGAAUUUCAGGAUUAACCUGUGUGAAGCAGAGUUGGAGUUUAUGAAAAAUAGAAGAGAGAAUAAAGCAUAGGCCGCCGAGAGCAUGGGUGUGGGCUUCUUAAAGAAAACACUGCCUCCCCGUCGAAGCCGAGGACAUAGCAUGCCGGUGGUCUCAAGUUACAUCUCAAAGAGUUGCUGAGAAAUUGUUUUCCUCUCUUUUUGUUAAGUGAGAUUCUAGGGUGGCUCCAGAGAUGCCCUGGAUGGGAUUUCAGUCAGGUAAGAUAAAAUCAGGGCCUCUAGGAUUGCACAAGGAGUUGGGACAUGUUCUUCUACUGUAACUGGGGUUUCUGAUGAGAAUCAGAAUAGACUGCAGGUGUAUAGCCCGGAGGUGGGGGAAGGCCUCAAGCAAAUGUUAGGUGUGUUGGAUUGUGUGUGUGUGUGUGUGUGUGUGUGCGCGUGCGGUGCGCUCGUGCAAUGUGAGUGCUGGUGUACAUGGUGUAUGGAGACCAUAUGUUCACCUUAGAUGUGCAACCCAACAACUUCUCCUAUGACCGACACCACACACACACACACGCACACACACACACUUCUUAUUUUUUAUUCUCACUGACCUGUAACUCGGUGGUAGGUAGGGCUGAGCAGCCAGCAAACCCCAGAAUUCAUCUGUCUUCUUCUCAGUACCCAGGACUACAAGCCUACGCUACCACACCCGAUGCUUUCACCUGGAUCGUGGGAAUCAAACUGAGGUCCUCACGCUUGCAAGGCAAGCACUUUACCCAUGAGCCCACACUCUUGUGCUAGGCUUCUCCAUUCUCAAUAUUCCCCUGUGUCCGUCAUCUCCCCGUGUUUCUGUCCUGUGUCAGCUCCCACAUAAUGCAGAUACACCUACCUGAAGCCAACCAAGUCUCCUCUUUCGGCGUGGAUUGAUGGAUUGAGCAAAUGCAGGAGUGUGCCCAGGCAUGCAAAGGUCAGAGGACAGCUUGCAGAGUCAGUUCUUUCCUUCCCCAGUGUGGGCCCCAGGGAUCAAAUUCAAAGCCUUAGGCUGGGUGGCAAGGGCUGCCUGUGGAGCCGUCUUGCUGGCCCCCAAGUAAUUUCUCCCCUGCUCCCCCAGACUUGGUUUCUCUGUGUAGCCUUGGCUGGCCUGGAACUAGCCCUGUAGACUAGGCUGGCCUCAAGUAAUUGCUUUUCUUUCCUAUUUAGUUUAUAAAAGCUCACGAUCUACUCUGGAGUUCUCUGAACCUUUUUCAAUUCUGGGUUUGUUUUGUUUUGUUUUGUUUUUUUCUCAAGACAGGGUUUCUCUGUAUAGUUUUGGUGCCUGUCCUGGAUCUCACUCUGUAGUCCAGGCUGGCCUCGAACCCACAGAGAUCCGCCUGGCUCUGCCUCUCGGGUGCUAGGAUUAAAGGCGUGCGCCACCACCAUCGGCUCUUUUCCAAUUCUGUCACCCAGUUUGUAAGCCAUAUUUUGCUCAAAUGAACCCUGAAAUGUUAA